CUUAGGUUUGCUUGGAGGUUGAGUCCCCUGAGGGAGGCUUGAAGGGCUUCUGGGCUGGGACUACCACCACCAGUUGUCCUGCUCAGUCCUGAGGGCAGCUGCUCUUCUAAAAAUUCCCCAGAGACAGCUGGCAGGAGGAAAUGGGCAAGCUGGCCAUCAGGGGACACUGAACUUGUAUGCUGAAGAAACUCACCUUGUGUUAUCCCAAGCCAGUGAGCAGCAGAGUUGUCUGUUCCUGUGUCCCUGUGACCAUGGCUCUGGACCAGGGUGUUGGAUGGUAGGAGCUGUCCUCUCCCCUGUUCCGGGUGGAGCAGAAGUGCUGAAGCAGGAUGUAUAAAGCACCUGGCUGUCAUCUCAGGCUGUUACCUGGAAACAUUGCUCAACUUUUAGUGCUUUCUCCCCUCUUACCCACCUAGUCCUUAGCCCUCUUUAACUUAUUUACAUUGUUCAAGUCUCCUACCUGUGCCUUUUGUGAUUGUGUUCUUUUUGUGUGUGAAGAUGAAGACCAAAGGGACAAAUAUGAAGAAAAGCACGGUUACAAAGAGCAAAGAUUGACUGGCUUCUGUAGAUGUGUUCAAACCACUGUGCUGGUGAUGUUUCUCAGUGCCAAAGGUUAUAGCAGAAGUCAAUUUGGUAAUUUAGAGUUUAUUUAGGCAAGAGAUUGCUGUGAGGUAAAACAACCUCAAUACGUCACUGACCAGAGCCCUUGGUGUUCUCUAGCUGUCACAGUACAAUUUGUGGUGUGUCAGUAGUAAGAUUUAAACUGCAGUUACCUUUUGUUUUAGCGUUUGAAGCUGACCAAAGGAACAAGAAAAUAUGAUCAACUUAGCUUGCUUAGUAAGGGUCAAAGAAAAAGCUGGUUGAAUGUGGGAGAUUCAUACUUUUGUUUGGGGACUCCUGUUUCAGUCAGAGCUCAGCAAGAGCUGGGAUGUCCUUCAUCUUACCUUCAUCUUACCAUGGCAAGAUCUCACUGUCUGAAGCACCUACUGAAUAACAAAAAAGGGCAGGGAAGCAGUGAGGUCACCAAUCUCACUGAUUUCAAAUGACUCACUGCAACUCCAGUAAGAGCACAGAACUGGAAGUUGGAAACUUCAGGAACCCAAUUUUCCUAGUUCAAGAAGUACCAUCAGAAUAGCCAAACCAAAAUAAAUUACUUAACUUUUCAUUUCCUCCCAAAUGUUUUGGUGUUACUGGAAGAAUUAAGAUGCUAUAUUCUAUUCCUGAUGGUCACUGAUUUCCUGUGUGUGUAUAUAUAUAUUCUUAUAUAACCUUAAGCCAACCACAGAACAAAAAACUUAGCUUGUUAGUCAUGCUUAUGACUACUUCCAAGAUGUAUGAGGAUGAACUGACGUUAAAUUGCUUGGAGAUUUGUGGAUGCAAUUCCUUAUUCUGUCCCUGAGCAUGUUUUCUAGCAAUAGUCAGCUGCUCUCAGGAGCACAUGGAUUCACUGCACAGCUCUGCGCUACUUUUGAGAUGAAUCUAAAGAUGAAUUUUCAAAUGUUCUUGGAGUUCUUUGUUUGCACAAGAAAGUCCUCUGUAUUGCUGCCUAAUGAUCUGUCAGGAAAA